CCUGCGCGGCGGGCGUGUGAGCGCUCACUCCUGCGGCGGUCCUCCGCGGUGGUGGGAGAUUUCGGUGUCCCGCUUUCAGAGAUCACAAAUUCAGGGUAACGCUGACCCGACGGGCACAUCCAGCCAUUGACGUUUGUGAGCGCUGGCGUUGCCGACGAGGAAGACGGCAGCUCCGGGUUUAAUGCCGGCUGGAGACCCUUGGAGUUUCUAUGGCGUCUCGAACCCAACGCAGACGGGAUCUGACAGAGGUCCCUGGGAUUCCAGCUGGCAGGGAUGGUUCGGCCGGGCCCUGCCCUAGAUCAGAAAUUCCAGUCCAUCCUCAGCCUUUUCGGACAGGGUCUCUGAGGCAGAGGUCUCAACCUCCAAGCCGGGCGGAACUCUUAGAGGCACUGGCUUAUCACCCACGCUCUGGGUCUGGCCGCGCUUUCCGGGUUGCCUCCAGAGCCAAACAGAUGGUUGGGCCCAGGUUGCAUACGUUUGCAAUGAAAAAUUCACUAUGGACAUGAGAUAUUAGGAAGGCGUCAAAGCUGAUGUCAAUGGCAGAGGAAGAAUUAGAAGCUGUGUUUCCUUUGAGGUCUGAAGAUCCAGUUCUAGCUUUUCCUAGCACAUACAAGCUUCGGGCAAAGCCCCUCCACUUCUAAGCCUCAUAAUGGGGAUGAUAUUUUUAAUCGUCUGCCUCGUUUGGUUGAUAUAGAGGUCAAAGUCAUAUUUUCCCAAUCAUUUAUUCACUACUUGAACCAAAACUGGACCCUAAUGUGUUGCAGAAUAACUUGGCAUCUAUGAAGCACCAUGUAAAAGUAUUAUUAGAAAUACUUCUCUCAGCAUCCUGAAGUAGCCUGCCUCCCAAGCUGCCUUAUUCCUAGGAGAAUCUUCCUCCAUCAUCACUGUAUCCUAGCCCAGGGAACCUGACAGGGGAUGAAAGAAGGGUAUCUCACCUGGACUGGUGGUCUUGAAACCUGGAAAAAAAUGAAACAAGACAAAGAUAGGAAAAGACAGGAGAGUGUUGGGGCCCAGUUCUGGCUUUAAACUCAGAUGCCUGCAGAAAGUCUGGAACCUCACAGGUGGCUGGGUCCUUAUGGAACCCAAGGGAAACCCGAACCCAGGCUGUUUCCAGUGCAGCCUCUCUCCCCCCUCUGCUUUUAGGGGGACCCAUCACCACCUCCUCUUCUGGGUUUUUCCAAGCUUGGAGCUGGCAGCAGUCUCAGCCUUUUGACCCCAGGUCGAGUUCUCCAAACUGUAACCCUGAAGCCUCCCACAGAGGUGGCUUUUCCAGGCCUGCUGCUGACAGAUGCUGCUUUACUACCUGGAGAUGAGCCUUAUGAGGCUGUGUGUAUUCAAAGGGAGAAGAAAAAGGAAAUAG